rnacentral:rRNA from 1 species
AACGAACGCUGGCGGCAUGCCUAACACAUGCAAGUCGAACGAGACCUUCGGGUCUAGUGGCGAACGGGUUCGUAACGCGUGGGAACCUGCCUUUAGGUUCGGAAUAACUCAGAGAAAUUUGAGCUAAUACCGGAUGAUGUCUUCGGACCAAAGAUUUAUCGCCUUUCGAUGGGCCCGCGUUGGAUUAGCUAGUUGGUGGGGUAAAGGCCUACCAAGGCGACGAUCCAUAGCUGGUCUGAGAGGAUGAUCAGCCACACUGGGACUGAGACACGGCCCAGACUCCUACGGGAGGCAGCAGUGGGGAAUAUUGGACAAUGGGCGAAAGACUGAUCCAGCCAUGCCGCGUGAGUGAUGAAGGCCUUAGGGUUGUAAAGCUCUUUUACCCGAGAUGAUAAUGACAGUAUCGGGAGAAUAAGCUCCGGCUAACUCCGUG